rnacentral:rRNA from 1 species
GAAUCUUGGACAAUGGGCGCAAGCCUGAUCCAGCCAUGCCGCGUGAGUGAAGAAGGCCUUAGGGUUGUAAAACUCUUUCGCCGGAGAAGAUAAUGACGGUAUCCGGAGAAGAAGCCCCGGCUAACUUCGUGCCAGCAGCCGCGGUAAUACGAAGGGGGCUAGCGUUGUUCGGAAUUACUGGGCGUAAAGCGUACGUAGGCGGAUUUGUAAGUAGGGGGUGAAAUCCCCAGGCUCAACCUGGGAACUGCCUUCUAGACUGCAAGUCUCGAGAUCAGGAGAGGCGAGUGGAAUUCCGAGUGUAGAGGUGAAAUUCGUAGAUAUUCGGAGGAACACCAGUGGCGAAGGCGACUCGCUGGACUGAUACUGACGCUGAGGUACGAAAGCGUGGGGAGCAAACAGG